GUUGAACGCUGGCGGCAGGCCUAACACAUGCAAGUCGAGCGGAUGAAGGGAGCUUGCUCCUGGAUUCAGCGGCGGACGGGUGAAUAAUGCCUAGGAAUCUGCCUGGUAGUGGGGGAUAACGUCCGGAAACGGGCGCUAAUACCGCAUACGUCCUGAGGGAGAAAGUGGGGGAUCUUCGGACCUCACGCUAUCAGAUGAGCCUAGGUCGGAUUAGCUAGUUGGUGGGGUAAAGGCCUACCAAGGCGACGAUCCGUAACUGGUCUGAGAGGAUGAUCAGUCACACUGGAACUGAGACACGGUCCAGACUCCUACGGGAGGCAGCAGUGGGGAAUAUUGGACAAUGGGCGAAAGCCUGAUCCAGCCAUGCCGCGUGUGUGAAGAAGGUCUUCGGAUUGUAAAGCACUUUAAGUUGGGAGGAAGGGCAGUAAGUUAAUACCUUGCUGUUUUGACGUUACCAACAGAAUAAGCACCGGCUAACUUCGUG
rnacentral:rRNA from 1 species